rnacentral:rRNA from 1 species
AUACGGAGGGGGUUAGCGUUGUUCGGAAUUACUGGGCGUAAAACGUACGUAGGCGGAUCGGAAAGUAAGGGGUGAAAUCCCAGGGCUCAACCCUGGAACUGCCUCUUAAACUCCCGGUCUUGAGUUCGAGAGAGGUGAGUGGAAUUCCUAGUGUAGAGGUGAAAUUCGUAGAUAUUAGGAGGAACACCAGUGGCGAAGGCGGCUCACUGGCUCGAUACUGACGCUGAGGUACGAAAGUGUGGGGAGCAAACAGGAUUAGAAACCCUAGUAGUCC